GACGAACCGUGCGAACGUUAUUCGGAAUCACUGGGCUUAAAGGGCGCGUAGGCGGGUUGCCAAGUCUGUGGUGAAAUCCUCCAGCUUAACUGGAGAACGGCCGUGGAUACUGGCGACCUCGAGGGGGGGUAGGGGCUUGCGGAACUGUGCGUGGAGCGGUGAAAUGCGUUGAUAUGCACAGGAACUCCGGUGGCGAAGGCGGCGAGCUGGACCCUUUCUGACGCUGAGGCGCGAAAGCCAGGGGGAGCGAACGGG
rnacentral:rRNA from 1 species